AUCCCUUCGAGGACAUUUUAAUAAAUUGGAACGAAACAGAGACAAUUAACAUGAUCCCUGCACAAUGAUAACACACAUAAGUCAAGUGGAAGAGAGAAUUGAG